GUGGCCGGUAGCUACCAUGCAAGUCGAACGGCAGCACAGGAGAGCUUGCUCCCUGGGUGGCGAGUGGCGGACGGGUGAGGAAUACAUCGGAAUCUACUUUUUCGUGGGGGAUAACGUAGGGAAACUUACGCUAAUACCGCAUACGACCUACGGGUGAAAGCAGGGGACCUUCGGGCCUUGCGCGAUUGAAUGAGCCGAUGUCGGAUUAUCUAGUUGGCGGGGUAAAGGCCCACCAAGGCGACAAUCCGUAGCUGGUCUGAGAGGAUGAUCACCCACACUGGAACUGAGACACGGUCCACACUCCUACGGGAGGCAGCAGUGGGGAAUAUUGGACAAUGGGCGCAAGCCUGAUCCCGCCAUACCGCGUGGGUGAAAAAAGCCUUCGGGUUGUAAAGCCCUUUUGUUGGGAAAGAAAUCCCGCUGGCUAAUACCCGGUUGGGAUGACGGUACCCAAAGAAUAAGCACCGGCUAACUUCGUGCCAGCAGCCGCGGUAAUACGAAGGGUGCAAGCGUUACUCGCAAUUACUGGGCGUAAAGCGUGCGUAGGUGGUCGUUUAAGUCCGUUGUGAAAGCCCUGGGCUCAACCUGGGAACUGCAGUGGAUACUGGGCGACUAGAGUGUGGUAGAGAGUAGCGCAAAUCCUGGUGUAUCAGUGAAAUGCGUAUAGAUCACGAGGAAAUCCAUGUCGAAGGCAGCUACCUGGGCCAACACUGACACUGAGGCACGAAAGCGUGGGGAGCAAACAGGAUUAUAUACCCUGUGAGUCCACGCCCUAUACGAUGCGAACUGUAUGUUGUGUGCGAUUUGUGACGCAGUAUCGAAGCUAUCGCGUUAAGUUCGCCGCCUGGGAGUACGGUCGCAAGACUGAGACUCACAGGAGUUGACGGGGGGCCCGCACAGCGCUGGAGUAUGUGUUUAAUUUCGAUGCACGCGAGACCUUACCUGGGCUUGACAUGUCUAGAA
rnacentral:rRNA from 1 species